rnacentral:rRNA from 1 species
CCUACGGGAGGCUGCAGUGGGGAAUAUUGGGCAAUGGGCGAAAGCCUGACCCAGCAACGCCGCGUGAAGGAAGAAGGCUUUCGGGUUGUAAACUUCUUUUGACAGGGAAGAGCAGCAGACGGUACCUGUCGAAUCAGCCACGGCUAACUACGUGCCAGCAGCCGCGGUAAUACGUAGGUGGCAAGCGUUGUCCGGAUUUACUGGGGGUAAAGGGCGUGUAGCCGGGCUGACAAGUCAGAUGUGAAAUCCGGGGGCUCAACCCCCGAACUGCAGUUGAAACUGUUGGUCUGGAGUAUGGGAGAGGCAGGCGGAAUUCCUGGUGUAGCGGUGAAAUGCGUAGAUAUUAGGAGGAACACCAGUGGCGAAGGCGGCCUGCUGGACUGUAACUGACGUUGAGGCUCGAAAGCGUGGGGAGCAAACAGGAUUAGAUACCCCUGUAGUC